CCUACGGGUGGCAGCAGUGGGGAAUAUUGGACAAUGGGCGAAAGCCUGAUCCAGCCAUGCCGCGUGUGUGAAGAAGGCCUUCGGGUUGUAAAGCACUUUCAGUGGGGAAGAAAGCCUUGGGGCUAAUACCCUCGAGGAAGGACAUCACCCACAGAAGAAGCACCGGCUAACUCCGUGCCAGCAGCCGCGGUAAUACGGAGGGUGCGAGCGUUAAUCGGAAUUACUGGGCGUAAAGCGCGCGUAGGCGGUCUGAUAAGCCGGUUGUGAAAGCCCCGGGCUCAACCUGGGAACGGCAUCCGGAACUGUCAGGCUAGAGUGCAGGAGAGGAAGGUAGAAUUCCCGGUGUAGCGGUGAAAUGCGUAGAGAUCGGGAGGAAUACCAGUGGCGAAGGCGGCCUUCUGGACUGACACUGACGCUGAGGUGCGAAAGCGUGGGUAGCAAACAGGACUAGAUACCCCAGUAGUC
rnacentral:rRNA from 1 species